ACAAGCAGCGGAGCGUGUGGUUUAAUUCGAUGCUACACGAAGAACCUUACUGGGUUUGACAUAGAGGUAGCAGGGAAGCGAAAGCGGACCGACCCUUCGGGGAGCCUCUACAGGUGUUGCAUGGCUGUCGUCAGCUCGUGUCGUGAGAUGUUCGGUUAAGUCCGCUAACGAGCGCAACCCUCGCUGUGUGUUGCAAGUGUCACACGGUACUGCCGAUAUUAAGUCGGAGGAAGGUGGGGAUGACGUCAAGUCAGCAUGACCUUUAUAUCCAGGGCUACACACACGCUACAAUGGCCAGUACAAUGGGCUGCCAAGCCGCGAGGCGGAGCCAAUCCUAAAAAGCUGGCCUCAGUUCAGAUUGCAGUCUGCAACUCGACUGCAUGAAGCCGGAGUUGCUAGUAACCGCAGGUCAGCAAUACUGCGGUGAAUACGUUCCCGGGUCUU
rnacentral:rRNA from 1 species